UAGGCCGGCAGCACACAUCCGGUUUCCGGAUACGGUUUCCUGAUCAGGAAUUAAGAUUCGGGAUUCCGUGUCACUAGCGCACACAUUCGGUUUUUUUCAUUCGGAAUUUACAUGGCCAGGCUACCUUGAUUCAGAAUGAAAAUUUCCGUAUGUGUGCGGCGGUCAAACCAAAUUGUUCGCGAGCGCUGCGUUCGGAAUGACGUCAUCAGGUUCUAUUCCGUUCUGAGUACCCGAACGCACGGAGGAAAUUUUAAACCGAAUGUCAGGUUUUUUUCCGUCCGGAAAAAGUAAGAACGUGUGCGCUCUUGUGAACAUUUUGUAUGAAAAAAGAGCAUUCCGGUUUCAGAAUCAGGAAUUCCUAUUCGGGAUUCCGUGACCCUAGCGCACACAUUCGGUUUUUUUCAUUCUGAAUUUACAUGGCCAGUACGUAUAGAGCCACUUAAGUGAAAACACGCAUAAUGGAGGAUGACGAGUUAAUUGCGAUUGCACUCUUACUUUCGUUAAAAAAGAAAAAAAUUAAACGGCGUUACUGGGAACACCCGUUAAAUACACGGAGAUUGGCCGAAAGUCAAUUCUACAUUAAAAGAGCCAUGUUACGGGCGUACCCCGAAGAAUUUUUUAAAUACUAUCGGAUGUCCAUCAAAUCAUUUGAUGAACUCCAUCAAGCCAUUCGAGAUAAAAUAAUAAAGAACAAUUUUUAAAGCACUUUUUCGUAUGAAGGUGUAAAAAAUUAAGUUAGAGAGUACAUAAUAUAAGUACCAUAUUGUUUUUAAAAUUUUUAUCUUUUUUCUGAGAUACGUCACUUUGUUAUAGGACAUGGGGCAAUUUUGUAUGGAUUGUGAUCCGCCUUCUUUAAACUAUUUAUCUUUUAUGUAUGCAAAUAUGUAUAUACUAGCUUCUGCCAGCGGUGUCACCCGCAUCCCGUGGGAACUACUUCCCGUACUGGGAUAAAAAGCCGAUAAGUAGCCUAUAGCCUUCCUCGAUAAAUGGGCUAUCUAACACUGAAAGAAAUUUUCAAAUCGGACCAGUAGUACCUGAGAUUAGCGCGUUCAAACAAGCAAACAAACUCUUCAGCUUUAUAAUAUUAGUAUAGAUUUGUUAAUUGUUUAAUAAACUGGAUAUCAUCUCUCAAAAAAAUAUAUAUAUACAAAAAUAAAAACAAAUAUAAAAAAGCAAGUGACAAGCGGGCUCUGAUACACGUCCAUUCGGAACAGGGCUACCUUGAUUCAGAAUGAAAAUUUCCGUAUGUGUGCGGCGGUCAAACCAAAUUGUUCGCGAGCGCUGCGUUCGGAAUGACGUCAUCAGGAAACCGGAUGUGUGCUGCCGGCCUUAAUG
rnacentral:lncRNA from 1 species